AUUGAACGCUGGCGGCAUGCCUUACACAUGCAAGUCGAACGGUAACGCGGGGCAACCUGGCGACGAGUGGCGAGCGGGUGAGUAAUGCAUCGGAACGUGCCCGGUAGUGGGGGAUAACUGCUCGAAAGAGCAGCUAAUACCGCAUACGACCUGAGGGUGAAAGGGGGGGAUCGCAAGACCUCUCGCUAUCGGAGCGGCCGAUGGCGGAUUAGCUAGUUGGUGGGGUAAAGGCCCACCAAGGCAACGUUCCGUAGCUGGUCUGAGAGGACGACCAGCCACACUGGGACUGAGACACGGCCCAGACUCCUACGGGAGGCAGCAGUGGGGAAUUUUGGACAAUGGACGCAAGUCUGAUCCAGCCAUGCCGCGUGCGGGAAGAAGGCCUUCGGGUUGUAAACCGCUUUUGUCAGGGAAGAAAUCUUCUGGACUAAUACUCUGGGAGGAUGACGGUACCUGAAGAAUAAGCACCGGCUAACUACGUGCCAGCCGCCGCGGUAA
rnacentral:rRNA from 1 species